UCUCAAGUAGCUGGGAUCACAGGCGCCCACCACCACGCCCAGGGGCUUUUUCCUGUUGCUGGGCACUUUUCCUUGCUGCCAUCGUGUGAAGAAUGACAUGUUUGCUUUCCCUUCCACCAUGAUUGUAAGUUUCCUGAAGCCUCCCAGCCACGCUGAACUUUCAGUCCAGCUGAAUUUCCAUCAUGAAGAGUCUGCAAUGCCAGGCAUGAUGCUUUCCCCAGAUAACUACAGUCUCUGCCUUUGAAGAAUCCAGUGUCUGAGCUUUAUGGCAAUAAAAGCUCAUAGUUGCUAUCAUUCAUUGACCUCUUGCAAUGUAUGAGCUGCUCUGCCAAGAGUUUUGAACAUGUUUUCUGAUUUAAUCCCAUUGUCCAAGGUUUUGGAAACAGUGUUUUAUUAGCCCAGUUUAUAGAUGAGGGAACAGUGGCUUAGAAUAAGGAACUUAUACUGAGAUACUAACCUCAUAAAUGGUUUAAUCUAUUUGAUAUGGUUUGACUGUGUCUCCACCCAAAUCUCCACUUGAAUUGUAUCUCUCAGAAUUCCCACAGGUUGUUGAGAGGGACCCAGGUGGAGGUAAUUGAAUCAUGGAGGCUGGUCUUUCCCAUGCUAUUCUUGUGAU